rfam:Stegodyphus mimosarum contig73591, whole genome shotgun sequence.
GCCUUCGUGGUGUAAUGGUCAGCACACUGAGCCGGUGUUUCAGAGGUCCGUGGUUCGAUUCCCGGCGAAGGAC